AUUGAACGCUGGCGGCAGGCUUAACACAUGCAAGUCGAGCGGAGAUGAGGUGCUUGCACCUUAUCUUAGCGGCGGACGGGUGAGUAACGCUUAGGAAUCUGCCUAUUAGUGGGGGACAACAUUCCGAAAGGAAUGCUAAUACCGCAUACGUCCUACGGGAGAAAGCAGGGGAUCUUCGGACCUUGCGCUAAUAGAUGAGCCUAAGUCGGAUUAGCUAGUUGGUGGGGUAAAGGCCUACCAAGGCGACGAUCUGUAGCGGGUCUGAGAGGAUGAUCCGCCACACUGGGACUGAGACACGGCCCAGACUCCUACGGGAGGCAGCAGUGGGGAAUAUUGGACAAUGGGGGGAACCCUGAUCCAGCCAUGCCGCGUGUGUGAAGAAGGCCUUAUGGUUGUAAAGCACUUUAAGCGAGGAGGAGGCUACUGAGACUAGUACUCUUGGAUAGUGGACGUUACUCGCAGAAAAGCACCGGCUAACUCUGUGCCAGCAGCCGCAGUAA
rnacentral:rRNA from 1 species